UCAUGUUUUGCACUUGUUUAUCAUUUUUCUUGUGAUUGUUGCUGCUUCCUGUCCAGUGCUUUUUUUUUUGUUUCACUUCCUGUUUAGGUUUGUUUUUCUACUGACUUUAGCCCUGCUCCUGAGCACUGUUCUCCUCACCUGUCCCUGAUUGACAAUCAGGAGGAUUCUCUAGCCAUCCUGACCUUACUGAUGGGGCUGGUUCGCUAGCCGCACCGUUCUGUCCUAUAUUGGAGUGGACGCUGCAGAGCCCACCCGGAACAAACAUCAUGUUGAAGGUCUUCAACACGAUGGAGGACGGGACUUGAUGAGGUGGUGAAAAGGCCAGGGAACUCAUCAUGACGUGGUAGAAGAUGGAGGAUGGAGUGGUAGAAGAUGGAGGAGAGAAAGAAGAUGAGCUGCUUCCAAACGCCAACGUGUGUCCUUCCCGCUGGCGGACGCAGGCCAGGAGAUGACGACAAUAAAUUCAUCCAAAGACUGUCACCUUCUAUGGUCAGACACUGAGAAAGACUACUUCCUCUGUUGUUUUUGGGCGCUUUUACUACGGGGCUUGGAAUUUCAGGGCCCCUUUUUCAGAGGCCUAUCUACAUGUAUUUCAAUAUGGAAUGCACUCCCAACAGACGUAAAAGAAAGGGCAUCUCUAUCCUCCUUCAAAACCGCACUAAAAGAACACCUACA